AUUGAACGCUGGCGGCAGGCCUAACACAUGCAAGUCGAACGAGUGGCGGACGGGUGAGUAAUGUCUGGGAAACUGCCCGACGGAGGGGGAUAACUACUGGAAACGGUAGCUAAUACCGCAUACCAUCGGAUGUGCCCAGAUGGGAUUAGCUAGUAGGUGGGGUAACGGCUCACCUAGGCGACGAUCCCUAGCUGGUCUGAGAGGAUGACCAGCCGCGCUGGAACUGAGACACGGUCCAGACUCCUACGGAAGGCAGCAGUAGGGAGUAUUGCGCACUGGGCGCGAGCCCGAUGCAGCCAUUCCGCAUAUAUGAGGAAGGCCUUCGGGUUGUAAAGUACUUUCAGCGAGGAGGCGUUACUCGCAGAAGAAGCACCGGCUAACUCCGUGCCAGCAGCCGCGGUAAUAC
rnacentral:rRNA from 1 species